ensembl:misc_RNA Metazoa_SRP Metazoan signal recognition particle RNA
GCCAGGCGUGGUGGUACUUGCCUGUAAUCCCAGCUACACAGGAGGCUGAGGCAGGAGAAUUGCUUGAACCCAGGAGUUGGAGGUUGCAGUGAGGCCAGAUCAUGUUACUGCACCCCUCCAGCCUGGGUGACAGAGUGAGACUCUGUCUCUU